rnacentral:lncRNA from 1 species
ACGAUAUGUCCCCCCAAGACAGCCAGAACCACAGCCACGAACAAAGGCCACCGAAAGCGGCCGCUGCAACUUCUGCCAGCCCAUCCUUCGAUCAGUGACUGUCUGUCCAAGCUUGGCACCGGAGCCUCGGGGUGAAUCUUUCUUUACCUUGGAAAAGCCACAGGAACUAAUCAAAGAUGAUGCCUGGCCAGCCAUCUCCGAAGGAGCUUCCAACUCUAUGUUUACACGGCAUGUUCUUGUUCAGCAGGUGACCGGGGCAAGCCACUGCAAUGAUAGAUUGUAAAAUAAACGGUACCAC